GGGUUUGUAGCUCAUUGGGAGAGCGCCGGGCAUCACGCCCGGAGGUAGCGGGUUCGAUCCCCGUCUGACCA
rnacentral:tRNA from 1 species